AUGCGCGGCGUGACAGAGGAAAUGAACUACGCCGGGGGCGUGGAGCUAGUUACGCGCGGCGUAAUAACGUAUGCUGAAGAUCAGUUCUCCUCUGCUUUGAUCACGCGCGGCGUAGUGGGAAAGGAGCAACCACGCGCGGCGUGAUAGAUCUGACGCCCGGCGUGGUUGCGAUCUGUAUAUAUUGAAAACUCAUUUUCUGGAAAGGGGUUCGAAAUUUUGGAGUUCAUCACUGAUUUUCUAAGAUCUUGUGCAUCAAGUGGAGUCUGAUCCUGCAUUCCAGUGGCUAGAUUCAAGAAGUUCAACAGCAUGGGAGUCUUCCUUGUGAAGUUGAAGCUUGGAUUUGCUCAAAUCACCAUGAGGAGCUAAACCCCUCAUAGAGGUUGGAUCUAAGGAUGAACUAAGCUAUGUAAUAGCAUGUAAUCUGUUCUAUUGUAUUGAAUCUCUUGUACUAAGUGUUAUUUCAUGAAUAUCAAUGCUUAAUGCCUUUCAAUUUCUGAUCAACUUUGCAAUGAUUUUAGAUUCUAAUUAUGUAUGAGAAUAUGAG
rnacentral:lncRNA from 1 species